rnacentral:rRNA from 1 species
UACGGAGGGUGCAAGCGUUAAUCGGAAUUACUGGGCGUAAAGCGUGCGCAGGCGGUUUGUUAAGUCCGUUGUGAAAGCCCCGAGCUCAACUUGGGAAUUGCAGUGGAUACUGGCAGGCUGGAGUACGGUAGAGGAAGGUGGAAUUCCCGGUGUAGCAGUGAAAUGCGUAGAUAUCGGGAGGAACACCGAUGGCGAAGGCAGGUCUCUGGGCCACUACUGACGCUGAGAAGCGAAAGCAUGGGGAGCGAACAGG